AGAGUUUGAUCCUGGCUCAGGAUGAACGCUGGCGGCGUGCCUAACACAUGCAAGUCGAGCGAAGCACUUUACUUUGAUUCUUCGGAUGAAGAGUUUUGUGACUGAGCGGCGGACGGGUGAGUAACGCGUGGGUAACCUGCCUCAUACAGGGGGAUAACAGUUAGAAAUGACUGCUAAUACCGCAUAAGACCACAGCACCGCAUGGUGCAGGGGUAAAAACUCCGGUGGUAUGAGAUGGACCCGCGUCUGAUUAGCUAGUUGGUAAGGUAACGGCUUACCAAGGCGACGAUCAGUAGCCGACCUGAGAGGGUGACCGGCCACAUUGGGACUGAGACACGGCCCAAACUCCUACGGGAGGCAGCAGUGGGGAAUAUUGCACAAUGGGGGAAACCCUGAUGCAGCGACGCCGCGUGAGCGAAGAAGUAUUUCGGUAUGUAAAGCUCUAUCAGCAGGGAAGAAACUGACGGUACCUGACUAAGAAGCACCGGCUAAAUACGUGCCAGCAGCCGCGGU
rnacentral:rRNA from 1 species